rnacentral:rRNA from 1 species
GUAGGUGGCAAGCGUUGUCCGGAAUUAUUGGGCGUAAAGCGCGCGCAGGUGGUUCUUUAAGUCUGAUGUGAAAGCCCCCGGCUCAACCGGGGAGGGUCAUUGGAAACUGGGGAACUUGAGUGCAGGAGAGGAAAGUGGAAUUCCACGUGUAGCGGUGAAAUGCGUAGAUAUGUGGAGGAACACCAGUGGCGAAGGCGACUUUCUGGCCUGUAACUGACACUGAGGCGCGAAAGCGUGGGGAGCAAACAGGGAUUAGAUACCCUGGUAGUCCACGCCGUAAACGAUGAGUGCUAAGUGUUGGGGGGGGUUUCCGCCCCCUCAGUGCUGCAGCUAACGCAUUAAGCACUCCGCCCUGGGAGUACGGCCGCAAGACUG